rnacentral:rRNA from 1 species
UACGAAGGGGGCUAGCGUUGCUCGGAAUCACUGGGCGUAAAGGGUGCGUAGGCGGGUUUUUAAGUCAGGGGUGAAAUCCUGGAGCUCAACUCCAGAACUGCCUUUGAUACUGAAAAUCUUGAGUUCGGGAGAGGUGAGUGGAACUGCGAGUGUAGAGGUGAAAUUCGUAGAUAUUCGCAAGAACACCAGUGGCGAAGGCGGCUCACUGGCCCGAUACUGACGCUGAGGCACGAAAGCGUGGGGAGCAAACGGG